GUGGGGAAUUUUGGACAAUGGGCGCAAGCCUGAUCCAGCAAUGCCGCGUGCAGGAAGAAGGCCUUCGGGUUGUAAACUGCUUUUGUACGGAACGAAACGGUCCGGGUUAAUACCCUGGGCUAAUGACGGUACCGUAAGAAUAAGCACCGGCUAACUACGUGCCAGCAGCCGCGGUAAUACGUAGGGUGCAAGCGUUAAUCGGAAUUACUGGGCGUAAAGCGUGCGCAGGCGGUGCUGUAAGACAGGCGUGAAAUCCCCGGGCUCAACCUGGGAAUUGCGCUUGUGACUGCAGUGCUGGAGUACGGCAGAGGGGGAUGGAAUUCCGCGUGUAGCAGUGAAAUGCGUAGAUAUGCGGAGGAACACCGAUGGCGAAGGCAGUCCCCUGGGCCUGUACUGACGCUCAUGCACGAAAGCGUGGGGAGCAAACAGGAUUAGAAACCCGUGUAGUCC
rnacentral:rRNA from 1 species